GUGCUCACUUCGGCAGUACAUAUACUAAAACUGAACGAUACAGAGAUUAGUAUGGCCUCUGUGCAAGGAUGACACGCAAAUUCGUGAAGCAUUCCAUAUUAAA